rnacentral:rRNA from 1 species
AUACGUAGGGGCCUGACGUUGUUCGGAAUCAUUGGGCGUAAAGGGCGCGCAGGCGGCCGUCCAAGUCCGGUGUUAAAUGGUCGGGCUCAACCCGAUCAUGCGCUGGAAACUGGGCGGCUUGAGUCCCGUAGGGGAUGCCGGAAUUCCAGGUGUAGGGGUGAAAUCUGUAGAUAUCUGGAAGAACACCAAUGGCGAAGGCAGGCAUCUGGCCAUGUACUGACGCUGAGACGCGAAGGUGCGGGGAGCAAACAGGUUUAGAUACCCUGGUAGUCCGCACAGUAAACGAUGUGCACCAGGUGGCGGGGGGUCGACCCCCGGUACCGUAGCUAACGCAUUAAGUGCACCGCCUGGGGAGUAUGCUCGCAAGGGUGAAACUCAAAUGAAUUGGCGGGG